UACCUGAAGUAAGCAGGACCACCCGCUAAACUUAAGCAUAUCACUCAGCGGAGGAAAAGAAACUAACAAAGAUUGCCUUAGUAACGGCGAGUGAAGAGGCAAGAGCUCAAAGUUAAAAUCGCUUAGCUAUGCUGAGCGAAUUGUAACCUCAAGGGGGGGAUAUAGGCAAGUUCGACGCAAAAGUUCCAGGGGGAAGGACGCCAGAGAGGGUGAAAGCCCCGUUUAUGGUGUCGAACUGCUGAAAUGAAACCUUCUCAGAGUCGGGUUGUUUGGUAUUGCAGCCCUAAAUGGGAGA
rnacentral:rRNA from 1 species